AAUUAAUUAAUUAAUUAUUUAACAGAAUUAACUGUAUUUUAAUUGAAAAAGCUUAAGGAUAUAAGGUGGUAUGGAUUCGACAAAUACAGUUAUUACAUAUGCAUAUUCGGAGUCUUCAUCUAAAGUGAAAAACUGCUGGUAAACUUGAUAAAAUUAUAAAUUUAUCAUUUUGAUAAAUGAACUGUCAAACUUUAUAUAGAAAUCUAUUUAACCUAAGUUUAAAUCCCAGGAGUUAAAAUCCCUGGAGUUAAAAUCCCUUCCGAAAUGCCUUCCUGAGAGUCAAGGGGCCUUCCACUCUACAUACCUUUCUCCUUUCUUUUUUGUAUGGAGUGGCACAA